GUGUGUUUGCAUAUGUGUCCUGCCUCUCUGCUCCCAGCCGUUAAGAGGCCAGUGUUGAUCAGUGGCUGUCCAGGCCUUUCACAGCCACUGACACGCCGGCAGCACAAUGAUGAUGUCACUGCUUCUACUGCUGGCCACCCUGGGGCUCCUUGUUCAGGGUUCAUCAGGAGAAAUCACCCUGACUCAGUCUCCUGGAGCUCAGUCUGUUGCUGCAGGACAGACUGUUUCUAUCAGAUGUAGAACCAGUACAAGUGUUAGUAACUACCUCCACUGGUACCUUCAGAAACCUGGACAAGCUCCUCAGCUCCUGAUUUAUUAUGCUACAAGCCGUCAGUCUGGAGUUUCUGAUCGUUUCAGUGGAAGUGGAUCUGGGACUGACUACACUCUGACCAUCAGUGGAGUUCAGGCUGAAGAUUCAGGAGUUUACUACUGUCAGCAGAGUUCUAGCUUCCCGUUCACACAGUGAAAAAGCGUCGUACAAAAACCUCCCUCAGCUGGAGAGGAACUGAUCUGACUCAACAGCUGCACUGACACUAAACAACAGAGGUUUCACUACAAGAAUAUCUUCAAUAAUAAUCACUUUCAACAUUUGAACACUAAAUAUACUGUAUUUAAUCCAAAAAGUUCUGCUUUUUAUACUUUUAGUGAAACAGGGAUUGAAACAUUCUUCUGUGUGUAGAUGCCAACCUCUGCUGAAAUACUUCAGUUCUACAGUUUAAUAACAUGUAAACACUAAAAUUACUAACAUGUUUUUAAUCUUCUACCAUUUUUCAAAGAAACCCAAAUAUUUAUCAGUUGAAUUUUAGAAUUGAAUCUAUUAAACAGCUGGUUUCAGAAGCAGAAGCACCACAUAAAUAUUUUGUAGGUUAAGUUUGUUGAUCACACUCUUUUUAUUUCUCUCUACGCAGAUGAUAUCAUGCUGUUUAUUACAGAUUUAGGACAUAAUAUUCAAAAAUGUUCUUGAUUUUCUUAAAAGUUAAUGCAUUUCCUUUGGAUACAGUUGAAACAACAAGUCUUUAUCAUUAUCUCACGCAGUAAUAAGAGAUGAUUUGAGGGUUUUAAUCAAAUUGUUCCUCCCAUGAGUUUUGUAUAAAUUUGUAUUAUUACAGACAAUUCUGAAG